rnacentral:rRNA from 1 species
GAUGAACGCUGGCGGCGUGCCUAAUACAUGCAAGUCGAGCGAACGGACGAGAAGCUUGCUUCUCUGAUGUUAGCGGCGGACGGGUGAGUAACACGUGGAUAACCUACCUAUAAGACUGGGAUAACUUCGGGAAACCGGAGCUAAUACCGGAUAAUAUUUUGAACCGCAUGGUUCAAAAGUGAAAGACGGUCUUGCUGUCACUUAUAGAUGGAUCCGCGCUGCAUUAGCUAGUUGGUAAGGUAACGGCUUACCAAGGCAACGAUGCAUAGCCGACCUGAGAGGGUGAUCGGCCACACUGGAACUGAGACACGGUCCAGACUCCUACGGGAGGCAGCAGUAGGGAAUCUUCCGCAAUGGGCGAAAGCCUGACGGAGCAACGCCGCGUGAGUGAUGAAGGUCUUCGGAUCGUAAAACUCUGUUAUUAGGGAAGAACAUAUGUGUAAGUAACUGUGCACAUCUUGACGGUACCUAAUCAGAAAGCCACGGCUAACUACGUGCCAGCAGCCGCGGUAAUACGUAGGUGGCAAGCGUUAUCCGGAAUUAUUGGGCGUAAAGCGCGCGUAGGCGGUUUUUUAAGUCUGAUGUGAAAGCCCACGGCUCAACCGUGGAGGGUCAUUGGAAACUGGAAAACUUGAGUGCAGAAGAGGAAAGUGGAAUUCCAUGUGUAGCGGUGAAAUGCGCAGAGAUAUGGAGGAACACCAGUGGCGAAGGCGACUUUCUGGUCUGUAACUGACGCUGAUGUGCGAAAGCGUGGGGAUCAAACAGGAUUGGAUACCCUGGUAGUCCACGCCGUAAACGAUGAGUGCUAAGUGUUAGGGGGUUUCCGCCCCUUAGUGCUGCAGCUAACGCAUUAAGCACUCCGCCUGGGGAGUACGACCGCAAGGUUGAAACUCAAAGGAAUUGACGGGGACCCGCACAAGCGGUGGAGCAUGUGGUUUAAUUCGAAGCAACGCGAAGAACCUUACCAAAUCUUGACAUCCUUUGACAACUCUAGAGAUAGAGCUUUCCCCUUCGGGGGACAAAGUGACAGGUGGUGCAUGGUUGUCGUCAGCUCGUGUCGUGAGAUGUUGGGUUAAGUCCCGCAACGAGCGCAACCCUUAAGCUUAGUUGCCAUCAUUAAGUUGGGCACUCUAAGUUGACUGCCGGUGACAAACCGGAGGAAGGUGGGGAUGACGUCAAAUCAUCAUGCCCCUUAUGAUUUGGGCUACACACGUGCUACAAUGGACAAUACAAAGGGCAGCGAAACCGCGAGGUCAAGCAAAUCCCAUAAAGUUGUUCUCAGUUCGGAUUGUAGUCUGCAACUCGACUACAUGAAGCUGGAAUCGCUAGUAAUCGUAGAUCAGCAUGCUACGGUGAAUACGUUCCCGGGUCU